CAGGACAUAACUUGGCUAAUAAUACAAUGGUUAACUUAUGACUAGGGUCACCUGACCCAUAACUACUUCAUAUGACUCAUGGUGUAAGUCGUAAGCAAAGCAGAGAGACUAAAGCUUAGGAAGUUUGCAAAGGCCAAAGUCUAGGAUGUUUCACCUAAAUAUACAAACAAAUACCUCCCAAGACCUGGUAAGGUCGGUACUAGAUCCACCACUAAAAGAUACCCAGAGUACUAGACAG
rnacentral:lncRNA from 1 species